UAAUAAUACUGUAUCAUAUACUUGAAAGUCGUUAAGAGAGUACAUCUUAAAAGUUCUCACCACACACGUGCACACAAGAGAUCACCAUGUGAAGUGAGGAAUGUGUUAACUAACCUCCUGGUGGUAAUCUUUUCGCAGGACCUAUGUUUAUCAAUCCUUAUGUUUUACAUUUAAACUUAUACGAUGUUAUAUGUCAAUUAUAUCCCAAUGAAGCUGGAGGGGAAAAAAAUGUUAAUCAUGUCAAAAAAUACCUUCACAGCAACAUCUAGAAUGGUGUUUGACCAAAAACUGGGUACCGUAGCCUAACCGAGUUGACACAUAAAGUUAAUCACCAUGGUGCUCCUCCUCUACUUUAUCCAUCCUAGGGUGGAAUCUUUGGCCACAUCCUUAUUUCUGAGGUUAUUGGGAAAUUGAUACAACAUGAUGAAGAUCCUUCUGGUUUUAGGGAAGUGAGAGAUGCGUGUGUUUCUGGUGAGUGGGAAAGGCCAUGAGUGGAAUUAAUUAAGAUACUCUAAUCUCUUGGGUAAUUUUAUGGGAAAGAGAGUAGGGCUGAUGGGAGUCCACCAAGGUUGAUAUGUUAGAAGCACAUAUUGUUGCUUUUGUGGAUUUUGGCAGAAUUUUCUUAUUAGCAUUCUCUGCUAUUUCAAGAGUUUGGAUGAGCAGCUCCUCACGGUCGGAAUUAAUCAGGAACCCAUGGACUCCUGUGACAAAUCUCCCUCUCUGCCUUGCAGGGCUUUCCAAAGCUCUCUGCAUGGUUUUGGGCAACUUACUUAACCUUCCGUAGCUCAGCUUUCUUGUCCCGAAAAGACUUCUAAAACCUAGCAUUCAGUGAUUCUAUAACUUGAACUUACCCACCCAAUGAUCCCCCACGAUUUUUCAUCUCUCUGCUUGUGAUGACCCAGUUCCCACCCUCCUCUUUGCAAUUAUCACACCAACUUCCAACAAGGUAUCUCAGCUCAUGUGGUUUUCUAGAACUUAGAUAACUAUUCCUCUGUGUGUCACACUACUUUUCAAAUACAGCUUGUAAUGUCUUUCAAAUAUAGUGUGCUUUUAUAAAUCAAUACUGACUAAACAGACCCCCUGCAUAAUAUGGUAAACGAUGUGGACAUGCAGUUCGCAAGAGGUUUGAAUGGCCAAUAAGCACAAGACAAUAUGUUUAGCAUCACUAAACAAAAAAAGAAAUCUAAAGAAAUAUUAAGUAUAGAUUUUGACUUUCAGAAUGACAUAGUUCACUGAUUACAAACCCAGGAUAAAAUUUGGAAGAAUACCCUACAUAGGAGGCUAUAUUAGUUUCCCAGGGUUGUAAAGUGAGUGGCUUAAAAUAACAGGAAUUUGUUGUCUCACAGUUCUGGAGGUCAGAAGUCCAAAAUCAAGGUGUCAACUUGACACACUCCUUCUGAAACCUGUAGGGGAGAAGACUUCUGUCAAUGGCUAUCAAUCCUUGGUGUCCUUGGCUUACGGCUGGUUGUGACUCCAUUCUCUGCCUCUGUACUCUAUUUCCAAAUAAGGUCACAUUCACAGUCAGCCGACUGCGUGUCCCUUGAAGCCACAAGAUAAGCAAACCUGGGCCCUGAGUCACCAUUUGGAGGAAAGCCACCCUGGAGGUCAGCAGACGAAGAACUCCCUCAUCGGACUUGGUAAAAAGGAGGAGGGAGGUAGUAACCCGCAUUCGGUGGCCUGAAGACCGAAGAACAGUGACUGCAACUCUCACCACACAUCAGAGACCUGGAAUUGUAGAGCUGGCAGGAACAUUCUUCCCAUUUUACAGGCAAGUCAACCAGACCUCUGAGUUAGUGUUUGGCCCAAGUUUAUACAGGACAGAGCCAGGUUAGAAGUUAAGGCUUCUGUCUCCAAACCCAGAGGUUUUCCUCCCUCUACUCCUUUGCAUUUUCUAACACGAAGAACAAGAAUGUGUUUGUAUGUGUAACAAGCAAUGAAAUAUGGAAUUAAAGCAGUGUCAGGUUCUAGUUACGAUAGCAGACUGUGGAAGAUCAUGUGGGAAUUCUGAAAUACACGCAUGGGUUGGAGCUCGUUUGAGCUUCCUAAUUGGACAAAUUGUUGACCAAAGUGUUGUUCCAGUUAGUCAUGUACUUCAGGCAGGUUUAGUAGAGCUUCUGAGGCUCAGGGCCUGCAAUAGUCUAGGCGCCAGAGUGAGACAAGUAGGAGGAAUUUGGUUCAGGAGAGAGAUGGGGGAUGGUGAGGAGGUUUUUAAUUUUACUUAUUUUGUAUAUAGGCUUGGAUUGAGCUUUGGACACAUCCUGGGUAAAUGUGUUUUGUUCCUAAUAUGGCAAAAGGAAGCCUUGGUUGUUUGGGGACAGGAGAAAAAAAAAUCUGAUUGAACCAUAGUGAAAAUAAAAAUAGCAUUGAGGGCAAGAAGGGGUAACAAUCACCUAAGAAUCUCUGAAGGAGAAAAAGCAUUCCUUAAAGGCCAAGCGUCUGGCAUCACCCAGGAAAAGCUUCUUCCCUCUAAUACUGACAUUGGCCUCCAGCUCCCCUUGAUUCUUCCUCAAAACUGUAAAUGGCAUAAUCGGUGCUCAAAAUCCCAUGAAGUGAAAAGGACGACUAGUUCCACAGGUAAUUUCCUAGCUCUCUCGGUGAGUGUAACAGGGCCACCUGGGUCCCCGGCGAGGGAGGAGGUGGCUGAUGCGGAAGAACAGCAUUUGUCUGGGGGUCUUGGUCAGAAGAAGUUGGCAGGGGAGGGACUCAUGGCUGGACCCGUCAGCACCAACCACCGAGGGGAGGCCCUGGGACUCGCGCUUGCUUACCUGCUCUCUCUAACUUCCCAUAUCCACUGGGCUGAUGGUCCUACUUAGUAUGCCUGACAUCAGUCCCUCUCCUUCCACCCCCAGAGCGGGCGUGUGUUUUCGCUUACGAAUUUCUAGCAUUUAGCAGAAUGUUGGACACAUAGAAAGCUUUUAUUUUCCAAAUGUUGGUUGAAUGAACACUAACACUAAGAACAGACAAGGAAGCUAACAUCUAAUGACUAGUAGCAACGCAUCGUGGGCCCUACGGCCGUGAAUCUUCUCAUUAGGCUGAGCCCAGGGCAGACAAGGGUUCCGAGGGGCCUGAUCCUGUGUUCUAGGGUAGAGGCUGAGAGUCUAGGCGCAAAUGAUUUGUGGUGGGUACCUCUAAGCCCUGCACCAUCUAAACUAGGCUCUUUGUCUUGCUACCCCACUUAGGAGGAGCAGCCAAAGGCAAGCUUCUUGGUAGAUGGGGAGCCCCAGAAGUCAGGCCCCUAUGGUUUUUCUGGCAACACUGUCGCCCCAAAGAACCAUCUGAUGUCAACUGAAGCAGAGAGGAUGCUUCCCUUUAAUGCUGAGCUAUUUUUGAUGCAAUUACUUGAUCUUUAACUCUGACCAGAGUUCUGGAUUCUCUUUCCAUGUCAACCAUCUGUUUUAAAUGACUUCAGGAAUUACGGAGAAGGAGGAGGCACCGAGACUGGGCCCGUGGAUCACUUGGAGGUUCCUACUGCCUCAUAAGCAAAACUUAGAGUGUGAACCAAGGGUUACAAAGGUGGCUUUAUUAUUAUUGUUUUUAGCCCGACUUCUUACAGGAAGAAAGCUGAGGCACCCCUGAGGCUAAGACCAGUCUGGGCCCUGUUGGUCAUUAUUUCUCUUCAUCCCUUUACUAGACAUUGGGUGAGUUAUUUCACUGCCCGGUGCCUCAAGUUCUUCCUCUGUAAAAUGAGGAUAAUAAUAACAACUCCAAUGGGCUGUGGAGGAGGACUGAAUCGGUUAAAUAUAGAAAAGACAAGCAGUCUGGCAUGUGGUGUAUGCCCGACCGGUGUUAUCUAUUAUGUUGCCAUUAUUAUCUUGAAUUUGCUGUCUGUAUAUGCAUUAGCCCCAAACACUUCUCCAGACCUCUGGGAGCCAUGUGUUUUGGAAUGAAGUGGGUUUUUUUUUUUUUUUUCAGAUUUUAGAGAAGUAAAAUGGUGCAUCUCUGUUUCAUUACAGGGCACCCUAGGUAGGGUCUGGAGGGCUGCUAGUCAUCCAACAUAUUAACAGUUCUUUGGCAAGCAACCAUUCCUAGUCAGGGGGAACUGAAGAAGAUAAUAAGGAGCCUCAUGUCAAUUCAGGUCAUGUUACUAAAUGAGUUGCCACCAAACUUAGAAAUAAACUUUGCUUUUCAGAGUUCUAUAGCUUUCUGGCUGUAGAAAUAGGAAAGGGAAUCUGUGCUAGUUCGGUGCUUUCCUUAUGACAUUUCCAUGGCGUGUGACUGCAGACUGGGCAUUGCCUGGGAUCAACGACAACAACAAAACAAAAUACUAAAAAGCAACUCGAGUGUCUCUACGCUCUCACCUCUGCAUAUUCGUGGAACGGGGAAAUGCCGAGU